GCCCCCUUCGUCUAGUGGCCUAGGACAUUGGAUUCUCAGUCCAAAGACAGGGGUUCGACUCCCCUAGGGGGUG
rnacentral:tRNA from 1 species